GGCUGUACUUGAUCCCAAAGGAGAGAGUUCACUUCAGCUCAUUGGGAACGCUACUGUAGCCAGCAGACAGCAUCUGGCAGAUCUUCUAGCAGCUACCAGGAACACUUCAGCUCUUCAAGUACAUACAACCCAUCCCUUCAGCGAGGGAACAGGGAGUGGUCUUACCACCAGCACCUCGCAGCUCCUCUCUGCUGCUCCCUUCUUGUCAUGCUCCUCCGCUCCGGUGCGGGUCCUCCCCAGGCUGCGGUGAAUAUCGCUUUCCCAAAUCAUCGGCUAAUGCAGGAUUCGGUACUCCAAACACCGUGGGUCGAGUCUCCUAGAAGCGGCGGUCCUGCACCCCGCGCUGGGUGCCGCGCAGAGCAGUAGUGUCAGGAGGAGACCCGAGGAUGCCCAGUGACUGGGGAGCCUGCACUGGCCCUUGUCUCGGGGUUCAUGGUUGAGUGUGAAGGUGCUCAGCACAUUCCAGGAUUAGGCUAUCAAUAAUAAACCAUUUUAAAUAUCUCAAAAGCAGUGCUGUGAUGACAACCCAAGUAAUUAAUUGCAUUACUUUUAAUAGACCUUUCAAAUAGUGCCAAGUCAGUGACAUCUGCUGCAAUGUGGAAAUACCUUCAGGGAAGAACAUUUUUAAUAUGGUGAUACCUCAAAAGGCAGACCGUAGAUAGGCUGAAAAUGGCCAUGCAGGAGAUAAAAUGUUUUACCAGACUGUUAAGCUCUCCUGCUUAUUGCUCAGCCAAAAAAAUGACUAUUCACCCAUUUACUGGUGGAUGAUUUAAUUAGGACCUACUUCUAAAACCACAAAAUCCGGCUAAGAUGCACUCUGCACUUCUUGGAGAGGCCCAUGUUCUCCUGCACCUUAUUUCUGGUUGGUAUCAGUAUUACUAUUGCUCAUUUUAGCAUAGUUAUCUUUGAUAUCCAAUGGUGAAUCAAAUCCAGGGGAGGCCUCAUCCUCAGCUGAUGCAAACAGGCUUGCCCCAGAGCAAUUAAGAGCACUGAUUAACAGCAGCAGAGUAUGUGGAGCUGGAGUUUUCAUACAAACACAAAUUCGUUUGCUGCUCUGGUUCUCUUGGGGAAAAAUGCAAAAUAUGUUAUUAAAACAGAGUUUGUUUAUUGACCUUCUCUAAUUUCUGUGUUCGUAAAAUAAUCUUGUUUAUUAACAAGUCAUCUUUAGCUGAGAUGCACUCUGUUUUCCUGAAACAUUUUGUGCAGAAUUCAUGAAUUGAAGCUGGACAAGCUGAAUACCAGGGAAUUAAUUUCAGAGGAUAUGAUCUCAUAAUCUCACUAACUAUUCAUCUCUGAAGAUGGAUAGAUUCUGGCUGGCAGCUGCAACCCUGGAGAUUAACGGGUGAAGAACAACAAGGGUGAGCCAUCGCAUUAACUUGUGAGGAGACUGUUGGUGCAUCUGUCAGAGGUCAGUGAGCAUUAGACUCUACAACAGCAAAGGCCACAGACUGGUAAGAGGACUGUCUUCUCCUUUGCCUUCUGAUUGCCCACCAGGUUAACUGAAUAUGCUUAAAGAUUUUUGGUACUGGUCACUACUUUGUUGAACCCGACAAGUACUUUCCCAUCCUGGUUGUAGAAGACUGAAAGAUAGAGAGCCCUUGUGUGAGCUGCAGGCAUGAUUUCAAUGAAUGUUUCCAUUUAUUUUCCCUUUGGCAGCUGUGGGCCUAUGGGUUGUUCUGUAACUUAUUUAAUAGACCCAAGUAUUAAAAUAUUUCCUGAAAAAAACCUCCACCUAGUAUAAAGUAGAUUUGAGUAAAAUUGCACAAGCUGGGUUUUGUAAGGGGUUAUUUCAGUGCCCGUUGGAAUCCAUAGAAACGUUUCAACUGAUUUUGGUGACUACUGAUAAGAUGAAGUAGGCUGUUUCAUGGAAAACCUGGAGGAGAAUGGUGAUGAUGCUAUAUUAAGACUGUGAACAAAAGCCAUUACUCUCACUAGCAUCAGUAAAUGGGGAAAAAGAUUUUUUUUCUUAGUCUUUCUUACAGAGAAAGAAUAUAAAGGUUAGGAAGACAGACAGGCACUAGAGCAAAGAGAUGUAUGAGAAUGAGUCAGAGCUUUCAGCAGGACCCGAAUCUGGCUAGGGUUUUCAUCUUUGUGCACAAAAUGAAUACAGCGUACAGAACAGCUAGUGAAAUCAAGACUUAUAUGCAAAAUAACCGAAGUGGGUGAAUUUGGUAUGUAUGAUGGCUUAAUUUUUCAAUCUGCAGAAUAAAAUGUGACAAAAUUCCAAAGAAACGCAGUCAUCCUUGUUUCAGUACUAAGUGCUCUGUGGGAGUUGCAGCACUGAUUAAGUUAUAGCCUGUGGAUUUCAAGGGCCCUUUUUCGAGUGUGACAGUCAGAGUUGUUGAUAACGAGGUUAAACUUCACAUGGAAACCGGGUGAUUCAAGGAAGCUGAACGACAGUGCUGCUUUCUGUGCCGUGCCCUGCUCAAAGGUCAGCUGGAAUAGGUGGACCUAGGAGAAGCAGCAAGUGAGAAGGCAGUUUUUCCUUGCUCUGGUACAGAGCAGGAAAGCAAACUUUGUCCUCUUCAGUUUUUCCACAGUGUUACCGCUUUGGCGAGGAAGGUACAUAGAAAUCUGCUGGGUUUUAUUGGUAACAUGCAAGGUUUUAUUGAUGGUUUUUGCUGAUGUGGACUCUCUGUGCAGCAAGCUCCACAUCUUUCCAGAACCACAGUAAAGUCAGGAAGCUCUAUACAAGUGUGGAAGUGUCCUAUGCAGAGAUCUCUGUCACUGUAGGCUUUUAGUCACUGCAUGACAUAAGGAUUAUUUGCUGCACAACAAGCAGUUUUGUGUUUGAACGUGUUUCAACAAUAUGACAGACUUAAAAAAAAAUUGCUCCCAACUUUAAUUGAAAAGGUAAUUGCUAAGAAGAAAAGAAUGGGACUACUGCUUUUCUUAUGUGUUACCUACUUAGUUGGCACACCUCCAAAAUCAGCUGAUAGAGAGAUAAAUCUGCAUUUUUGGAGAAAGCUGUAGGUAAUCCAAAUCAUGUACUUGGCUAUGCACUCCCACUCCACUCAAAUUCCUUUCUGAAGUGAUGAACAUACAAGGAACUUGAAUACACUGUGGAGGAAUAAAUGCUACAAUAAUUUAAAAGGGGGAAGAAAACCCACAAAGCAUGCUGAGUUGCUAUUUUCCAACUUGUGAGUUAGAUUUUUUUUUUUUUCUGAAGCUAUUGCAUUGGUUUCUACUCUUCCAUUCUUUUCUCUGCCUGUUGAAGGAUGAAAUGAGCCCUGGUGAAAAGAGAAGUCUAUGGCUUUAAGUCCUAUUUUGUGGAUUGAAGUGGGUCUUAAUUUCUGCUUAGAUUUUUGCCAACCAUCCCCCAAGCAAGUUUCAUUCAUUAAAAAAAAUACAGCUUUAUUUCUCCAUUUGCAUAUUAAGUUUAGGUAAUGUUCAGUCCCAACUACUACUGUUUAGCUCAAUGAAGAAAAGUUUUGUUUGUCAUUAACGCCCACAACUCGAUCAGUGUUUGUGGAUAUAUCAUCUUUUAUUUCCCCUUCAGCUUCAUUUUAGCUCACCCAUAUUAGAUGCGUGAUUUUGCCAUUUCCCUUGUUAAAUUCUUGUUUUCUAAUGAGCCCUGUGGUGUAUGCAUGUGACAUAGCAGGAUGGAGUUGCCAGGCACAGUCUUAUGGGAAAAAAAAAAAAAAAUCCCUGCCUUUCUGUUAACCAGUAUGAUGUCUUUCAGACAGAUCUUUAAGUAUUUUUUCUAAAUUCUUCCUUGAGUAACUUUUGUAGGCAGUGAAGAAAAGUCAGUGGAGAAAGGAUCAAUUCUGAGAGGCAGAAAAUUCCAGGUAGGCAGGGGGGACUAUCUGCCGUCAAUGGGCUGAGGACACUCUGCUGAAAAGUACACAACCGCACAUCAAUACUCAAAUAUUGUUUCAGUUUCUUCCUAAUUCUCUAGUCCAGAAGCUACUCCCCAACAGCUCAAGGCCAAAAAAGUGGAAUGCAGUUUGUAGCCAAGACCAAAGAGAAACUAAAGGGUCUUUUCUGCAGGAAAAUGAAAUGCCGUGUGUUUCCCUCCCUAAGUAUAAAUAAUUAUCUCUGUGACCCCAGUUGCGUGAUCCCGUGUCAGUGAUAUAAAUAGUACUUCCCAACAGAAGUGACGAGAUGCUAACUUUCUGGGGAAUGGAGGUAGGCAGGUCUCUAAGACGGAGAGGAGGGACACUUGAGUAGCGCUGACAAAAGCUGGCUUCCAAAAUUCACGUUAGCAGUCUUUUCAUCUGCAGAGGCUUGUUUUUUCUGAAGGAGGCUUUGAAACGUAUCAUUACAGUAAGUGUAGGGCUCUAACGGUGGUGCUGAGCUGAUAAUCCUGGAAACCACAGCUCUCAGCUUACCCAAAAAAACGAGCACGGGGCAAGCAGCAGAAGUGGACGCUUCCCCACUGAGGCCCCUCCCGGGAGGGGAGAGCAUAGCUGCGUCCCUGUUCCCGGCGGGCGCUUUGCCUGCCGAGCUGC